AAAAACCAAAAAAAUCUUUUAAAAAACUCUCCCUUCCCUAGUCGUCCGGCCUCCAGUCCGGCCAUCGGCCACCGUGCCGGCCAUCGGCCAAUCAUCGGCCACCGUGCCAGCCAUCGGCCUCCGGCGACGGCACCGCCGUCUGCGGUGGCCAGAAAAGGAGAAAAUCUCCUAUUCGUCCCUUCGAAGCCCCUAAAUCCAGAUCCGGGCUCAAAAUUCCCAAAAUCGACGAAGAAGUCCUAAAAACCCCUAGAAACCUUUCGGCUUCUAACCGUCUGUCCUCGGAGACGGACCUCGGCCUUCCACAGUGUUUCAGAAGCGAACCAUGGUGAGUAUCUUCACCUCUUAGUUUAUUCUAUUUCAAUAAUAAAAAUAAAAAAAUAAUAAAACGAAGUAAAAAAAUCAACCUUUUGCCUUUUCGAUUGGUUUUCUGUGUUAGUUUCAGUUUGCACUUUCUGUGUAACAAUGCUGUGUUUUUUUUAUUGAUUUUUCUCCCUCAUUACAGUAUAUUGAUGGUAUUUUUAUAGCCGAAAUACCAAUAACAUAAAGAAACAGAUCUUUCUGAUUUCUUUGAUUUGCAAAUCUUCGAUGCUGUUGUUUCUUUUCUUGAUGUGGAGGUACGAUGCGCGUGAAGAUUCGGCUCGUGCAGAGGCCUUGGUUGUGGUGCAAGUGUUUCCUUAGAAAUCCUAGGGUUUCUGUAAAUGUCUUGGCCAUUGUAAUUUGGGCCACUAUUCUUGUAUUUUGGGUUUGAGUUUUGGGCAUAGUUUAUUGUAAAAGGACUGUUUAUUUGCUUCAUGUAGGCCGGGUAAAAAUUAAGCAUUACAUCCUUAUUCUUGAAAUAUUUUUGCAUUCUCAUUAAUCUAAAAUUCAG
rnacentral:lncRNA from 1 species